rnacentral:lncRNA from 1 species
CUAAUUUGUCGGUGUCACGCGUUGUCGUAGCGAUUUUCGGGAACCCACGCCAUUAUUUCCUCCAAGAAGGCAUGAGUCCCGAGAUUCAUGUCUUUUCCGAUCGGAAAUCAUUUCGUAACCGUGUUAACUAUCCUGUUUCGCCGAAAACCAAAGUUCGCGAGUGUUUCAAUUCAAUGUGACCGGAUUAAAACAGUGCACGUGAAAUGGCAAUGAUUGUGUUCUCGUGAUUCGGAGUGCCUCUAUUACUACGCGGUUUCUCGAAUGCGUUUCCCGGCUUUCGUCUCGAAAUUUAUCACCUACAUAUUAAUCUCGCGGGUGUUAAUGUGUUGUGCGCGAUUUCAAUUUCCAAUCAUCCAUUUCCAGUGCGUUUAGGUGAUCAGAUCGUGAGCUUUAACGAAACUUGUUUAGUGCGUUUCAGUGAUCGGAUCGUGCGAUUAUCUGAACAUUUUUCGGCUCGUGAGUGUUUUCAGCUUGGAGUCAUGCAAAUUGGAUAUCUCUUUAAUGUGUUUCGGAAAAUGCGGCGAUCGCAUCGGAAAAAGCGGAUCCGGGUGUGGUGAUCGAAUCAGUGGGGAUUUUAAACGCGGAAAAGUGCGGGGGAAAGGGGUGGCCGAUGGCGAAGGGUUGUGUUGUGAUGUGUUGAUCGACCUGCCAUCGUUCCUCCGGGAAACUCGACCUCAUGAUGGCUUGGAUCAACGCCUGUUUCUGCUCCAAUCAAGAAAAGAAGCGACCCGUCAUCAGCGCUCCAAUCCGGCUUCUAUUAAAGGAGGU